AGCCCUUGGUUAGAUUUCUGCACUUGGUAGAUGGAGAUCAAACCCCAAUGGGGUAUAUUUAUGAGGCCAUGGAUAGGGCCAAGGAAUCUAUAAAAAAUUACUACAAGGGGGAUAUACUCAAAUUUGAUCCCAUUUGGGAAAUUAUUGAUAAGAGGUGGGACAAUCAGCUCCACCAACCCAUUCAUGCAGCGGGGUACUUCCUCAACCCCUAUUUUAAGUUCGGGGAUUCUUACUCAGAUCCUUAUGGAGAGGUCAUAGAGGGCCCCAUUACAUGCAUUUAGAGGAUGAUACUCGAGGUUGAGGUGAGAGACCUCGUUGUGGCUGAACUCCAAAAUUAUGAGGAAGCAAGGGAUGCUUGGUGGCAAAGUUGGGGUGGAAAUACCCCAAAUCUCAAAAAAUUUGCCCUCAGAUUCUUAUGUCAACCUUGUAGUUCAUCCAAUUGUGAGCGCAAUUGGAGCUUGUUUGAGGCCAUCCACAUGAAGAAGAGGAGCAAGUUAGCUCAAAAAUGCCUCAAUGACCUUGUCUUUGUGCAAUGUAAUCUUCGGUUGCGCAUAAGGAAGGUAGAGGAAGCAGCAGUUGGUCUAAUUGAUAUGGAUGAUAUAGAUCCUUACAGUGAUUGGACAUCAUAGGAGCAGCCUCCAUUGUUUACGCCAAUGAUUUGGAGAGGCAGGCUAUGGAGGAGGGGUGUGGAUUCGAUUUCACACUAGAUGACAUUGAGGAGGAUGAGGAGUCAUUGCCAGUGCUAGGAGAAGCUAGAGGCAGAGCUACAUCCAGGAUGGAGGAUGAGCCACAGCCUAAGUCAGACAUAUUGAGUGAGGAGGCAUAGUCACGCCCAUUGCAGACUUCUACGACUAGACCCUCUAGUUCUACCUGUCCCUUAGUUUUUACUAGAGUUGGGAAGAGGAAGAUGUAAUUGUAAUGAUGUAUUUACUUUUAGUUUUACAAAAACUAUUUACUUUUUUGCUUCCAGCGAUUAACAUUCCUCAUGAAGAUGCGAUUUUGUACCCACUUUGCAUUUAAAUAUAUCUAGACUCGACUUGUUUC